ACGAACACUGGCGGUGUGCUUAACACAUGCAAGUGGUGCGACGAACCCGAGCUUGCUCUGGGGCAAAGCCGCGAACGGGUGAGUAACACGUGGGUAAUCUACCCCGAUGGCCGGGACAACCCGAGGAAACUCGGGCUAAUACCGGAUGUGGUGCGGAGACAUAAGUCUCUUCUCUAAAGGUAGCUUCGGCUUCCGCAUUGGGAGGGGCCCGCGGCCCAUUAGCUUGUUGGUGGGGUCAAGGCCUACCAAGGCAACGAUGGGUAGCUGGUCUGAGAGGACGAUCAGCCACACUGGGACUGAGACACGGCCCAGACUCCUACGGGAGGCAGCAGUGGGGAAUCUUGCGCAAUGCGCGAAAGCGUGACGCAGCAACACCGCGUGAGGGAAGAAGGCCUUAGGGUUGUAAACCUCUUUCAGAUGGGACGAAGGUUCUCCGGUGAAUAGCCGAGAGGAUUGACGGUACCGUCAGAAGAAGCUCCGGCUAACUACGUG
rnacentral:rRNA from 1 species